rnacentral:ncRNA from 1 species
AAUUAAAUCUUCUCAUCCAAGGAAGGUGUCAAAUGUGCAAAUUACCCACUCCCAGAAUGGGGAGGUAGUGACGAAAAAUAAAAGUAUGGGUCUCUUUUGAGACCCUGUAACUGAAAUGAAUACACUCUAAAUCCUUGAAUGAGGAUCAGUUGCAGGGCAAGUCUGUUGCUAACAGCUGUGGUGAUUUCAGCUCCAAUAGCAUGUAUU